AGGCGAGUAGUAUAAUGGAUAGCACAUGACCUUGCGGAGGUCAAGACCGGGGUUCGAUUCCCCGCUCGCCUG
rnacentral:tRNA from 1 species